AACCGCGACCUCCGCAACCUUGAGCGGCAUCCGUGGAGUGCGCCUGCGCAGCUACGACCGCAGCAGGAAAGCGCCGCCGGCCAGGCCCAGCUGUGGCCGGACAGGGACUGGAAGAGAGGACGCGGUCGAGUAGUUUUAAAACAUGAAUCCUACACUCAUCCUUGCUGCCUUUUGCCUGGGAAUUGCCUCAGCUACUCUAACAUUUGAUCACAGUUUAGAGGCACAGUGGACCAAGUGGAAGGCGAUGCACAACAGAUUAU
rnacentral:lncRNA from 1 species